CCUACGGGAGGCAGCAGUAGGGAAUAUUGCUCAAUGGGGGACACCCUGCAGCAGCCACGCCGCGUGGAGGAUGACGGUUUUAGGAGUGUACACUCCUUUUGUUAGAGAAGAUUAUGACGGUAUCUAACGAAUAAGCACCGGCGAACUCCGUGCCAGCAGCAGCGGUAAUACGGAGGGUGCCAGCGUUACUCGGAAGCACUGGGCGUAAAGGGUGUGUAGGCGGGGUAAUAAGUCAGAGGUGAAAUCCUGUAGCUUAACUACAGAACUGCAUUUGAAACUGUUACUCUGGAGUGUGGGAGAGGUAGGUGGAAUUCUUGGUGUAGGGGUAAAAUCCGUAGAGAUCAAGAGGAAUACUCAUUGCGAAGGCGACCUGCUGGAACAUUACUGACGCUGAUGCACGAAAGCGUGGGGAGCAAACAGGAUUAGAUACCCGAGUAGUC
rnacentral:rRNA from 1 species